GUCAAUGAGUACAUAUAGUGUCUGUUGUGUCCUGUGGGUUUGUCAUAUAGGGGAGCCAGAUGCAUUGGUACCUGAAGUUGCCUAGGGUGGACCACCUGAGUUCUUCUAAUGUACAUAAGUGUCCAAUUUUGGUGACUAGUGACUUGACUGUGGGGGAGCAGUCGACCUCCACAUGCUAGUUAUCAACAUAUUGGCUGCUGUGAGUAUAAAGUAAGUAAUAGAAGCCUUAUAGUCACG